rnacentral:lncRNA from 1 species
GAUAUAGGAGGGUGUGGAUGGGGUAUACAGAUAUAGGAGGGAGUGAUGAGUAAUACAGAAAUAGGAGGGUGUGGGUGAGUUAUACAGAUAUAGGAGGAUUUGGAUGGAAUAUACAGAUAUCAGAGGGUGUGAAUUGGGUAUACAGAUAUAGGGGGGGGUAUGGAUGGGGUAUACAGAUAUAGGAGUGGAUAAAUUAUAUUGAUAUAGGAGGGUGUGGAUGAGUUAUACGGAUAUAGGAGGGUGUGGAUGAGUUUUACGGAUAAAGGAGGGUGUGGAUGAGUAAUAUAGAUAGAGGAGUGUGUUGAGGAUUAUUAUAGAUAUAGGCAGUUGUUGAUAGGUUAUACAGACAGAGGAGGGUGUGGAUGAUUUAUACAGAUAUAGGAGGGUGUGAAUGAGUUAUACAGAUAUAGGAGGGUGUAGAUUAGUUAUACGGAUAUAGGAGGGUGUGGAUGGGUUAUACAGAUACAGGAGGUUGUGGAUGAGUAAUACAGAUAUAAGGAGGGUGUGGAUAGGUUGUAAGAUAUAGGAAGGGUGAAUGAGUCACACAUAUAUAGGAGGGUGUAGAUGAGUAAUAUAGAUAUAGGAAAGUGUGGAUGGGUUUGACAGAUAUAGGCGGGUGUGAAUGGGUUAUACAGAUACAGGAGGUUGUGGAUGAGUAAUACAGAUAUAAGGAGGGUGUGGAUAGGUUGUACAGAUAUAGGAAGGUGUGAAUGAGUCACACAUAUAUAGGAGGGUGUAGAUGAGUAAUAUAGAUAUAGGAAUGUGUGGAUGGGUUUUACAGAUAUAGGAUAUAUAGAAUAGAAAAUGAUAGGGUGAGGGUGUAACAAUAUAAAGAAUAGAUAAUGAUAGGGUGUAACAAUAUAAAGAAUAUAGAAUGAUAGGGUGUAACGAUAUAAAGAAUAGAUAAUGGUAGGGUGUAACAAUAUAAAGAAUAGAGAAUGAUAGAGUAGAGAAUGAAGGUACAAAAUAUAUAGGGUGAACAAUAUAGAAAGAAAUGAUAGGGGUGUAACAAUAUAAAGAAUAGAGAAUAGAUAUAGAAUAGAGAAUGAUAGGGAUACAACAAUAUAAAGAAUAGACAAUGGGGGUGAAAAAAAUAUAAAGAAUGAGAAUAAGGGUGUAACAAUAAAGAAUAGAGAAUGGUAGGGUACAACAAUUAAAGAAUAGAAAUGAUAGGGUAACAAUAUAAAGAAUAGAGAAUGAUAGGGUGUAACAAUAUAAAGAAUAGAGAAUGAUAGGGUGUAACAAUAUAAAGAAUAGAGAAUGAUAGGGUAUAACAAUAUAAAGAAUAGAGAAUGAUAGGGUGUAACAAUAUAAAGAAUAGAGAAUGAUAGGGUACAACAACAUAAAGAAUAGAGAAUGAUAGGGUACAACAAUAUAAAGAAUAGAGAAUGAUAGGGUAUAACAAUAUAAAGAAUAGGAUAUGAUAGGAGAAUACAAACAAUAUAAAGAAUUAGAGAAUGAUAGGGUACAAACAUAAAGAAUAAAAGAGAUGAUAGGUACACAAUAUAAAGAAUAGGUAAUAGUAGGUUUAACAAUAUAAAGAAUAGAGAAUGAUAGAUCAAAGAAUAGAGAAUGAUAGGAUACAACAAUAUAAAGAUAAGAGAUGAUAGAGUACAACAAUAUAAAGAAUAGAGAAUGAUAGGUAAACAACAACACUAUAAAGAAUAGAGAAUGAAAUAACAAUAUAAAGAAUAGAGAAUGAUAGGGUACAACAAUAUAGAAGAUAGAGAAUGAAUAGGUGUAACAAUAUA